GAAAGACCCCUUAUCCAAAACACCCCAGAUCCUGUGCAUUCUGCAUAACAGGUCUCAUACCUCACAAACUAUGAACAAGUGUAUUGUGAUGUAAAUCCUAGGUGCAUUCAUAUCAUACAUUCCCAAGACUGAACCAUCGUCUCUAGGCAUAGAACCAUAGUGAUUCAGCAGAACACUGUGGCACAGCUACAUAUGUGAAUCCAAACAAAUGUAUUGUGGACUCGCACACCCUACUUGAAAGCAGGUAUAGAUAAGCCUGGUGCACAAGGGUGGAGGUUCGGCCACCUCCCAAUGCAAGUCUAUAGAAAAAACCCAAUGGCACCCAGGUCUGCGUGAACUCUUCUAGUACUCUAUUUAUUAUAAUACACACGUUUCAGCGAGUCAUGUGGCAGAAAUGACAUCAGAACUCACCGUUUAUAACUGAAGCUUGAGCAGCCUGUAGCCCUUCAGAUGUACAAGUCACGGCAAUCCCUGAUAGGCCUUCAAGUGCUGUUGGGUACUGAGUCGAUUUCAUUAACAGUUAAAGGGUUCCAUGUGGGUAAAAUGUGGUACAGCUCUGUGAGCCCCAGACCAAUAACCCAUAAUCCUUAAGGACCCUUGAGUCACAGCCCUGACAUGCCAGUCCAACCCUGUGCUUAUAAAAGUGCCCUGUUGCCAUCCUGUCCUGCUAUUAUAUCAUGCCAUGCUCCCCCAUGGUUGGACUGGGCUGGCAGGACCCAAGGAAGAAACCCAGUGAGCCCCGGCCCUUUUGGACCCACUGAGCCAGACCAGCCUGGAACCAUAGACCCUUUCCUCUGGACUUCCCCUCCCAAUCACAGCUGCAACACAACAGGUCAACAAAUCAAUGGUACAUAUAUUCCUCUGCACUUAGGCUCUUCCUGUAACACAACAGAAUGCCCAUGAUGUCAUCAGUAGCCAAUGGGAGACAGUGAGCCCUAACCCAUCAGUGAUGACAUCCAUUACGGGAACAGAAUGUACAGCAAGUAAAGUCAUCUGUGGAAUCCCUUUUUCCACUAUCAAAUGAAAAGGCCGAUCUAUACAUACUUUGGGGACUAGUGAAAGAAUAUUUCAUUGGACAACAUAUGUCAGAAGUUGUGUAACCUGCAUGGCCAUCCCUUUCAAGCUUACUAGCACCCAUCCCCUAACAGGAGCCUAUCAAUGGGGCAAAUGUUUUAAAAGACUCAUACUUAAAAAAGUAUGUAAAAUGAGGUUUCAAAACCACAAAAAAUCUCCACUUUAACUCAAUGAAACACAGCGCAAAAUGGCAAGUAUUUAUCAAGCUACUAAGUAGCUUAAUGCAAAAUAAUGGGUGCUAAACGUUGACACUAUCCCAGGAAGAGCACAGCUACUUGUUGGAAAGAAUGCAGGAGAAUUGUAGACCCAGGUACAGCGAGUUUAACCUCAGAAAGUUAAUAGUAAUGUGCCAGACUUACUUAUACAGCUAUCUGUGACAAUUUUAUUGCCGUCAUCGCAUUCCUCUCCUGGCUGGAUAAUUCCAUCUCCACAAGUAUUGCCAUAAUCGAUGCCACUUCGGAAAGGAGUGAGCUGCGAUUAAUAAGAAUCAUUUGUAUAUGAUUUUCUUUCUGUUAAUGAUGAUUAAUUGAUGACGUGUGCAAUGCAUGGAAAUGUAGUAGUCUUACAAAAGAAAGAAGAAAAGCACAUUAAAAAAUACUGCCUGUUAAACUAGGGUGUGAACUAAGUGUGAGCCAUAUUUGUGGCCUAGAAUCAGGACUACAUGAGAGGCCCCCAGUCUUUGUCUGUUAAUGGCCGGCAGCUCAAUCAAAGCUGGAGAGACACACACAGGGCAACCUUGAUGUAGGUACAGGUAUGGAAUCUUUUACCCAGAAUGCUUGGAUCCUGGUAUUUUUUUAAUAAGUUGUUUUAAAGAAUCAGCAUCAGACUGGCCUGCUAGAGUAGAGAAUCAAAGUAGGGUCACCAAUGUAGGAAAAUCACCACUAACUUAUAUCUUCCCAUUUCCCCCAUGGGCCUAUACAAGAUCAAUAGCCAUACCUCCCAACAUUUGAGACCAUGCCCACUUUGUGACCUCACCCCUAUAUACCACACCCAUUUUACACAACCCAGUAGUAAUCACUAAAUGUAAUGGAUAUAGGACAAACUCACCCAGACGUACCAGUAUAAUCACUAAAUAAUACGGCUUAUCAGCAUAUUAACUCCCAGACGUGCAGUAUAUUAACUAUAUAAAAUUGAUACAAGGCAUAUUAACCCCAGAUGUGCCAGUUUAACAACAUCAAAUGGAUAUUAACCCCAGAUGUGCUAGUAUUUUCUUUUUUACAGAAAAUGAAUAACAAGCAUAUUAACGCCAUACAUGUCAGUGUAGAAAUAACUAAUGAGCACUCAAUUAACCACAGACAAGUGAGUAAGAUCUUUACAAAAAUGGCCAAUGAGUACUCCAUUAAUUCCAGACAUGUUAGUAAAAUAAAUGCAGAAACAGACAGAUUGAAAGCAUUCCCUCACCUACACUUGCACAAGCAGAAUGCAAACACCAAAGUAUUUCAAGUUCCACUUUGCUUGACUUUUUCCUCUCUCUCUCUCUCUCUCUCUUUCUCUCUCUGUUUUCUGCAUUUGAAGAAAAAAAUCCAAGCUGGCCAUGUGUUCCACAGUGGAAUGCAUAGCCAUCUUGAUAUUUUUCUUCAGGUGCAUGAAAGAGCUCCAGAGAGCUGGCCAGGAAGAAUAGAAGAGGAUCCAAGCAACAAGGGACAUUAACAUUACAAUCUGGGACAGUGGCAUAUGAGCUCAAAAUCGGGACUGUCCUGCAAAGAGCGGGACAGUCUGGGGUAUUAUAGCAUAUAGUACUUAUACUUCUAGAGGGCUCAUUUAUGAAGUCAGUGCACAGUUCUAGGUACACUUUUUGGAUAGGUACAUUUUUUGGACAAAAAACUGUUUUUUUACCCACAAUUCAGAGUAUUUACAUAGAAUACCAGCAAUAUUGCAUUGUACGGCAACUACAUUUGCUAAAAUUUUCUUUGUAUUGCAAGUUCACUCGGCAGCUUAAUUCAACUUGUUUCUUUAAUCCAAAA